GGCUAAUGUGUCAAUAGUGCCGCUAUUGGGAAACCUGCAGUUAAGCAUUUCUCCACAGUGCUCCUUUGUUUCAUAAAGAGAAGAGAAUGGAGCAGUUCAGACAUAGUAUUCCUAGAUACUAUCUCUGUAACCUUUGAGGCUCACUUCCUCAUUUGAAAUAUGAAGACUGCUGAAACAAUGAAAUGAGCUACUGUGAAAUAAG